ACCUUCCCUAGAGGCAUUGCAGGUGUGGCUGCUAUACCACAUGUGUGUCAGUAGGUGGCAGGAGAGAGGCUAUGUCUGCACUCCGUGUUCUGAGCUGGGAGCAUCUGAAUUAGUAGUCUAUCAUU